CGUGUUUGUAAUUUGGAUGGUGUCAGCCAAUACUAGCCAGGUUCUGGCAUCAGAGUUGGUCGAUGCACUGUGGUUAAACUAUUGUAAAAAACCCGCGAUACAGAGUUAUAUGAAUCUCAACGAAGAUGAGAUUCAAUGCUGAUUCCGUUGUUAUGCAAAAUUAUUUUUGUUCAGCGUAAAUAUCCAAAACUAUGCAAUAUACGAUAAGGUUGUGAAUCUUGUGACAUUGCAAUUAAGAUUUUUUGUUUGUCAUUACAAUAAUGUAGCAAAGUGUUGAUAAUCACAGUGUAAGUUUUGCUACAGUAACUCGUUUAGUUAAUGUAAGCAAUCGUGUAUGAGUUGAAUAAGUACUAAUUUCGUAUGUUACAAGAUGGUGCUUUUUAAAUGAUAGACAAUCAGUGACAGUGAUCUGGAAUGAACUGACAUGUCUCCAAUUUAUCUCGUCUAAGUCUAGUAUAAACGUAUAUUUUUUUGUUAUAUUUUAAGAUCACAAAGUGCUUCCCGUUGGAAAAUUGUUAUAGCAACAGCAAUCAAGACAGUUCUAUACUUCGAAAAUGUAUAAAUGUUGAAGACUUAAUACCCACAGCAAUCACACAAAACUUUAUAGUUUGGUACUUGUGCAUAUAGUAGUAAAAUUUGAAAUUGCGGUACCGCAAUAUCACCUUAACAAGAUCUAGAAUUGAUACAUUUACCUAAUCUGAAACUGUUCUUUCUAUAGAUUUCGUGGAAAUUCUGUGUAAAUAGGACACCAAAAACGCCCCUCGCGUAAUUCAAAAUUGCAGCAUAAUCGAACCGAAGCUCCAAACAAAUUAAUGCUGUCUAACUAAUUUUAAACGCAUUAUUUUGUUGCAUUGAACAAUCCGUUGGAUUAAAUACAGAUUAUUGAUAAAUAACGGUCUUCUUCUACACCGGUGCUUUAUGUUUUCUCAAUAUUUUAUUAUAUACUACGCCAUUUUGGAACUUUUAUUUCUUUGUCUAUAUAUCAGUUUACUCCUGUGCAGUGUCCACUAAGUUUUUUUUGCAGUAAAAUGCAAAUAAGAUUCAGUACUGUGUUAUUUACCACUAUGUUAUUGUAAUAGAAUUGCAUUUGUUCCCUUUAUAUCUUUUUGUUGUUAAAUAAAAUUGGAUUG
rnacentral:misc_RNA from 1 species